AACGAACGCUGGCGGCAGGCCUAACACAUGCAAGUCGAGCGCCCAGCAAUGGGAGCGGCGGACGGGUGAGUAACGCGUGGGAAUUUUUCCUGGAGUACGGAACAACCGAGGGAAACUUCGGCUAAUACCGUAUGAUGUCUAGCGACCAAAGAUUUAUCGCUCUGGGGUAAGCCCGCGUCAGAUUAGGUAGUUGGUGGGUAACGGCCUACCAAGCCUGCGAUCUGUAGCUGGUCUGAGAGGACGAUCAGCCACACUGGGACUGAGACACGGCCCAGACUCCUACGGGAGGCAGCAGUGGGGAAUCUUGCGCAAUGGGCGAAAGCCUGACGCAGCGACGCCGCGUGAGGGAUGACGGCC
rnacentral:rRNA from 1 species